rnacentral:rRNA from 1 species
AGUGAACGCUGGCGGCAGGCCUAACACAUGCAAGUCGAACGGUAACACAGAAAGGGUUGCUUCUUUGCUGAGGAGAGUCGCACGCGGGAGUGGUGUCUAGGAGACUGCCCUAUGUAGGGGGGGAACUCGUGGGGACGGUAACUAAAACCCCAUAUCCUCGCAAGGGGAGAAAGGAGGGCCUCCUCGGACCUUGCCCUCGUGAGUGCGCCGAUGUCGGAUUAGCUAGUUGGUGGGGUAAAGGCACAUCUAGGCGACGACCCCUAGCUGGUGUGAGAGGAUGACCAGCCACACUGGAACUGAGACACGGUCCAGACUCCUACGGGAGGCAGCAGUGGGGAAUAUUGCACAAUGGGCGCAAGCCUGAUGCAGCCAUGCCGCGUGUAUGAAGAAGGCCUUCGGGUUGUAAAGUCCUUUUAGCGGGGAGGAAGAGCGUCAAGUUAAUACCUCGGCGUACUGACGUUACCCGAAGAAUAAGCACCGGCUAACUCCGUG